CACGUAGGCGGAUAUUUAAGUCAGGGGUGAAAUCCCAGAGCUCAACUCUGGAACUGCCUUUGAUACUGGGUAUCUAGAGUAUGGAAGAGGUAAGUGGAAUUCCGAGUGUAGAGGUGAAAUUCGUAGAUAUUCGGAGGAACACCAGUGGCGAAGGCGGCUUACUGGUCCAUUACUGACGCUGAGGUGCGAAAGCGUGGGGAGCAAACA
rnacentral:rRNA from 1 species